rnacentral:rRNA from 1 species
CACGUAGGGGGCGAGCGUUUGUCCGGAUUUAUUGGGCGUAAAGGGCUCGUAGGCGGCUCAGUAAGUCGGGUGUGAAACCUCCAGGCUCAACCUGGAGACGCCACUCGAUACUGCUGUGGCUAGAGUCCGGUAGGGGAGCAUGGAAUUCCUGGUGUAGCGGUGAAAUGCGCAGAUAUCAGGAGGAACACCGGUGGCGAAGGCGGGUCGCUGGCGGCGAAUGACUCUGAGAGCGAAAGCGUGGGGAGCGAACAGG